rnacentral:rRNA from 1 species
UACGGAAGGCAGCAGUGGGGAAUAUUGCACAAUGGGCGCAAGCCUGAUGCAGCCAUGCCGCGUGUAUGAAAAAGGCCUUCGGGUUGUAAAGUACUUUCAGUCGUGAGGAAGGUGUUAAGGUUAAUAACCUUAGCAAUUGACGUUAGCGACAGAAGAAGCACCGGCUAACUCCGUGCCAGCAGCCGCGGUAAUACGGAGGGUGCGAGCGUUAAUCGGAAUUACUGGGCGUAAAGGGCACGCAGGCGGUUAAUUAAGUUGGAUGUGAAAUCCCCGGGCUUAACCUGGGAAUGGCAUUCAAGACUGGUUAGCUAGAGUCUUGUAGAGGGGGUAGAAUUCCAUGUGUAGCGGUGAAAUGCGUAGAGAUGUGGAGGAAUCCGGUGGCGAAGGCGGCCCCUGGACAAAGACUGACGCUCAUGUGCGAAAGCGUGGGGAGCGAAACAGGGAUUAGAUACC